UUUGCUUGUCACCGGAAACAAAGAUAAAAAGAAGCGGGUAACUUUCGAUUUCAAGGAUCUGUUUGUUUUUCUUGGUGAGCCAUACACUAUCACCUUCACGCUGGUAAACUAUUAAUAAUGGAGGCGAAAGCCAAUGGUCCGAGUUUCAAAGGGGGUCGGGUAACAGAUGUCCCUACGAACCCGAUGGUUACUCCUCUUCUAACCCAUUUUUAUCAGUUCACCAUGGCGUACGCUUAUUGAAAGGCCGGCAGACACAACGAUCGAUCCGUGUUCGAUCUAUACUUUCGGAAGAAUCCAUUUGGUGGUGAAUUUACUGUGUUUGCUGGUUUGGAAGAAUGCAUAAAGCUCAUUGCUAAUUUCAAGUUAACCGAGGAAGAGAUUUCCUUCAUCUGUGAAAGCUUGCCUAGUUCAUGUGAGGAAGAUUUUGUCAAUUAUCUUUUAAACAUUGACUGUUCUGAUGUUGAAGUUUAUGCUAUUUCAGAGGGAACAAUUGUUUUCCCAAAGGUGCCCUUGCUUAGAGUUGAAGGGUCGGUUGCUGUGGUUCAAUUGCUGGAGACCCCAGUUCUGAAUCUUUUAAAUUUUGCAUCUUUAGUGGCUACAAAUGCGGCUAGACACAGGCUUGUUGCUCGAAAAUUUAAAAUGUUGCUUGAGUUUGGGCUUCGAAGGGCUCGGGUUAAUGAUUUUUUCUUGUUUAUUUUCUUAUUAUAAAUGUUAAUAUUUGAGUUUCUCUCUGUCAAACAUUUACAUUCAUGUUAAUUGCAGGGACCUGAUGGCGCUAUUUCGGCAUCAAAGUACUGCUAUAUUGGAGGUUUUGAUGCUACAAGCAAUGUUGCGGCUGGAAGGUUAUUUGGGAUACCUCUUCGUGGUAGUUAAUGUAGAGUCAUACUCAUAAAUGUGAAGUAAUGACAAGGUAAAUAUGAAUGAGGUGAUUUCAUGGUAGUUAAUUUCACUGGAAAAUAUAGUUUCUACCCGUAUAUAGCUUUUACUUUGGAUAUUUUAGUUAUUAGUUUCAUGAUACAUGCUUGAUUUUAACUUUGCUAUUGGUUUUCUUUGUUUAUAUCUAAAAUGGUUUUCAUUGACACUUCACUUUUGGCGACUUCUUCUCUCUUAGUAAAUGGGUCCGUAGUCCGUAUAAUGCAUUGUUUAGAAACAAGCUUAGAUUUCACUCCGACUUUCAAAUUUGCUUAUUGUUUUAUAUCAAUGUUCUAUAUGUCGUUCUAUUGACCAUUUUCUUAUGCUAUUUUCGUACUUUGAAUAUUAUUGGUGUGUUCCUGGAGUUUUUAUGCUUCUUUGAUUAUGCAGUUAUUCAAUGUUUAAUUUGCAGAGCCUUGAUGAGAUCCAAGACAGAUCACUGCAUAGCUCAGAUGGUUCAAGUACACCAAUGGCCAACUGUUGGAAGAUCUCCCCUUUACCAUCAAUCCUUUGUUCUGGUUUUGGCUGGAGAGUACUGACCAUCAAAAGGAUUCAAGGAAGGGAUUAGGUUUACAAAUGUUCUGUGACUUCUGUCCUAAACUAUCCUAAACCUGUGAUAAACCUUUAAUUAUACAUUUUGACACUAUUAUAAUUAUUACAAUGUGAUGUAUUAUUGUUGUUUUAA